UGGCGGCGUGCCUAAUACAUGCAAGUCGAACGCUUCUUUCCUCCCCGAGUGCUUGCACUCAAUUGGAAAGAGGAGUGGCGGACGGGUGAGUAACACGUGGGUAACCUACCCAUCAGAGGGGGAUAACACUUGGAAACAGGUGCUAAUACCGCAUAACAGUUUAUGCCGCAUGGCAUAAGAGUGAAAGGCGCUUUCGGGUGUCGCUGAUGGAUGGACCCGCGGUGCAUUAGCUAGUUGGUGAGGUAACGGCUCACCAAGGCCACGAUGCAUAGCCGACCUGAGAGGGUGAU
rnacentral:rRNA from 1 species